rnacentral:rRNA from 1 species
GAUGAACGCUGGCGGCGUGCCUAAUACAUGCAAGUCGAGCGAACAGACGAGGAGCUUGCUCCUUUGACGUUAGCGGCGGACGGGUGAGUAACACGUGGAUAACCUACCUAUAAGACUGGGAUAACUUCGGGAAACCGGAGCUAAUACCGGAUAUCAUGUUGAACCGCAUGGUUCAACAGUGAAAGACGGUCUUGCUGUCACUUAUAGAUGGAUCCGCGCCGCAUUAGCUAGUUGGUAAGGUAACGGCUUACCAAGGCAACGAUGCGUAGCCGACCUGAGAGGGUGAUCGGCCACACUGGAACUGAGACACGGUCCAGACUCCUACGGGAGGCAGCAGUAGGGAAUCUUCCGCAAUGGGCGAAAGCCUGACGGAGCAACGCCGCGUGAGUGAAGAAGGUCUUCGGAUCGUAAAACUCUGUUAUUAGGGAAGAACAAAUGUGUAAGUAACUAUGCACGUCUUGACGGUACCUAAUCAGAAAGCCACGGCUAACUACGUG